GGGGGGUCCGAGUUGUAAUUUGGAGAGGAUGCUUCGGGCACGGCCCCCGUCUAAGUGCCCUGGAACGGGCCGUCAUAGAGGGUGAGAAUCCCGUCUGGGACGGGUGGCCGGGCCCGUGUGAAGCUCCUUCGACGAGUCGAGUUGUUUGGGAAUGCAGCUCUAAAUGGGUGGUAAAUUUCAUCUAAAGCUAAAUAUGGGCCGGAGACCGAUAGCGCACAAGUAGAGUGAUCGAAAGAUGAAAAGCACUUUGGAAAGAGAGUUAAACAGCACGUGAAAUUGUUGAAAGGGAAGCGCUUGCGACCAGACUCGCCCGGGGGGGCUCAGCCGGCACUCGUGCCGGUGCACUCCCCCCCGGGCGGGCCAGCGUCGGUUUGGGCGGCCGGUCAAAGGCCCCCGGAAUGUGUCGCCCUCCGGGGCGUCUUAUAGCCGGGGGUGCAAUGCGGCCAGCCCAGACCGAGGAACGCGCUUCGGCUCGGACGCUGGCGUAAUGGUCGUAAGCGGCCCGUCUUGAAACACGGACCAAGGAGUCUAACAUCUACGCGAGUGUUUGGGUG
rnacentral:rRNA from 1 species